rnacentral:lncRNA from 1 species
CGCUUGGCAUUGCACAUGGUGAUCUUAGGCUUGUGUGUGGCUGCUCAGCCAUGGAAACCCAUUUCAUGAAGCUCCCAACGAAAAGUUUUUGUGCUGACGUUGCUUCCAGGGGCAGUUUGGAACUCGGUAGCGUUAAGAUUUCCCUUCACUGGAACUAAGGGGCCUAGCCCGAACCAUGAAAAACAGCCACAGACCAUUAUUCCUCCUCCCCCAAACUUUACAGUUGGCACUAUGCAUUGGGGCAGGUGGCGUUCUCCUGGCAUCCACCAAACCGGGCAUCCGCCAGUCCCCGUCAAACACUUUUUUUUGGUUACUACAUGAUUCCAUUUGUGUUAUUUCAUAGUUUUGAUGUCGUCACUAUUAUUUUACAAUGUAGAAAAUAAUACAAAUAUAGAAAAACCCUUUAAUGAGUAGGUGUGUCCUAACUUUUGACUGGUACUGUCCUCGUUCAGCCAUGACUCUGAGAAACAGGAUAUUACAGUUUCAGGUCCCGUUGAUAUGAUCGUCUCAAAUGAACCUCAUCCAGUUUCUUCUUGCCCACGUAAUCUCGUCAGGGAGCCAGCUCGCUUGCCAGAGCUGCCAACUCGUUGAAGUAGACAUUUUAGUCCAAAUCGAGGUUAGUGAUCGUUGUUCUGAUGUUCGGGUCGUAGGAGAAUUGGUCAGCAGCCGGUAAGAUAUAUAUGAGAGAGAGAGAGAUCAUCAUACUGAAACAGGAAAGGGGGAGAGAGAUGGGAGGGAGGUAGGGACAGAGAGAGAGAGAUGGGAGGGAAGUAGGGAGAGAGAGAUAUGGGAGGGAGGUAGGGAGAGAGAGAUAUGGGAGGGAAGUAGGGGGAGGGAAGUAGGGAGCGAGAGAGAUGGGAGGGAAGUAGGGAGAGGGAGGGAAGUAGGGAGGAGGCAUUAUCAUGCUGAAACAGGAAAGGGGGAGAGAGAGAGAUGGGAGGGAAGGAGAGCGAGAGAUGGGAGGGAGGUAGGGAGAGAGAGAUGGGAGGGAAGUAGGGAGAGAGAGAGAGAGAUGGGAGGGAAGGAAGGAGAGCGAGAGAGAGAGAGAGAUGGGAGGGAAGGAGAGCGAGAGAGAGAGAGAGAUGGGAGGGAAGGAGAGCGAGAGAGAGAGAGAGAGAUGGGAGGGAAGGAGAGCGAGAGAGAGAGAUGGGAGGGAGGGAAGUAGGGAGGGAAAGAGGGAGAUGGUAGGGAGAGGUGGAGAGAUGGGAGGGAAGUAGGGAGAGAGAGAGAGAUGGGAGGGAAGUAGGGAGAGGUGGAGAGAUGGGAGAGGGAGAGAUGGGAGGGAAAGAGAGAUGGGAGGGAAGGAGAGAGAGAGAGAGAGAUGGGAGGGAAGUAGGGAGAGGUGGAGAGAUGGGAGAGGGAGAGAUGGGAGGGAAAGAGAGAUGGGAGGGAAGGAGAGAGAGGUGGAGGGACCUGGAUCUGGGUAUGGGCCGGCAGCUUCUCCGGCUGGUGCCAAAAAUGACAUUCUUUGGCAGGGCACAGGGCUGCUGUAAAGCACUACUCAGGAACACAAUGUUCGGGACGCUGGAUGCAGCAAAGAAGCACUCUUAGAUUAAAC